rnacentral:rRNA from 1 species
GAUGAACGCUGGCGGCGUGCCUAAUACAUGCAAGUCGAGCGAAUGGAUUAAGAGCUUGCUCUUAUGAAGUUAGCGGCGGACGGGUGAGUAACACGUGGGUAACCUGCCCAUAAGACUGGGAUAACUCCGGGAAACCGGGGCUAAUACCGGAUAACAUUUUGAACCGCAUGGUUCGAAAUUGAAAGGCGGCUUCGGAUGUCACUUAUGGAUGGACCCGGGUCGCAUUAGCUAGUUGGUGAGGUAACGGCUCACCAAGGCAACGAUGCGUAUCCGACCUGAGAGGGUGAUCGGCCACACUGGGACUGAGACACGGCCCAGACUCCUACGGGAGGCAGCAGUAGGGAAUCUUCCGCAAUGGACGAAAGUCUGACGGAGCAACGCCGCGUGAGUGAUGAAGGCUUUCGGGUCGUAAAACUCUGUUGUUAGGGAAGAACAAGUGCUAGUUGAAUAAGCUGGCACCUUGACGGUACCUAACCAGAAAGCCACGGCUAACUACGUGCCAGCCGCCGCGGUAA